rnacentral:RNase_P_RNA from 1 species
CGCUGAUGCCCCACAAGGGCAGAAGAGGAAAGUCCGGGCAACAUAGAGCAUCCUACUUCCUAACGGAAAGCUGUCUGCGAAGGUAGAGUAAUGUAGAAGAAAAUAACCGCCUUGUUUCGCAAGGUAAGGGUGAGAAGGUGGGGUAAGAGCCCACCGGUCGUAUGGUGACAUGCGAGCCGUGCACAUCGGAGGCUGAAAGUUCGCGUAUACCGGCGGUGAGAGGGCGGUCCGUCCGAGCGUAGCCCGUCGGAGGGUAGAACGAUAGAGCUUGUCGGCGACGGCAAGUGCGGAUAAAUGACAGACACGUUCCUUUCGGAACGCACAGAACCCGGCUUAUAGCCCGAC